rnacentral:lncRNA from 1 species
GCUUGGGAAGUGAUGAAAUCCUAGUGGGUUUUGCCUACUUUUCAUAUUUGUUGUAUUGUAUUGUAUAUUUUUUUUGUGACAUAUUUUUGUGCAAUUUGGGAUUACUGUAUUGUAUGUAAUGAUUGAAUCGCUUGAAUAUUAAUUCAUUGUAUGCUUGGUUGUCUUUGUGAGAUAAGUUCUAUACCCGAACUCGAGUGCACUUAGGAUAGGAGAAUGGCAUAGUUUUGUCGACUUGUGUGGAGUUAUUC